AAAGAUAAAGGUGCCACACAAUCAAAGGAGACUUCAGCUUAGGGAUUGGAGCUGCUUUCUAAUGAGUUUUCAGUCAGGAAUUCUCACCAAAGGCCUGAGGAAAAGAAUGGAUUGAUGUCUUUGCACAUUGUUUCUACAGUGGUUUCAGUACUUUCCAAACAGCAGGGACAGCUGACCACAGGAACAGUUCAUACCAUAUAACACCAUGAUCAGUACAUGAAGUGAGGUGAAGAAGAAGAAGGAAGCAGGGAGAUGUUAGGAGUUAUGCCAUUUGUCUUCCAAGUCACUGUUAAC